rnacentral:lncRNA from 1 species
UGGCAGUUUAUUUUGCUAUUGCUUAAAGAAAGGAGCAUUGAAAAAUGUUAAUAGAUUAACAGUUUAUUUUAUGAAAAAAAGUGAGAAAAUAAAUACCACAUUUUCAAAAUGUACCAAAAUUUUUAAACGUCUAGUAUUUGUACUUUUUGUCAUUACUCAUUUGAUUGUGUCAAAUACUGAAUCCAUAGUGUGGAGUACUGAAUUGAUUGUGCCAAGUACUGAACCCAUAGUGUUUUUACUACGUCCAUAGUGUCAAGUACUGAAUUGAUUGUGUCAAGUACUUGAUUGUGAUAAAUACUGAAUUGAUGUUGCAUUGUGUCAAGUUUUGCAACUAUUGUGUCAAGUACUGAAUCAAUUGUGUCAUAAGGAAAAAUCAAAAUGUUAGCUAUUGAUAUAGGACCAUAAUAAUCUAUUGGAUGAAGCCCUAGUUUAUUGACUACAGAACAGUUGCUAAUAGUUUAUAAGAAUAUGGUACAUUUAGAAUAAACAAAGAUAUGAGUUUUAAAAACAUUACAUCCUUGAAUUUUAUUUAAAAAUGUUCAUGGUUUGAACAAAAUAUCAGACUAGAAAUCAAACUUAUAAAUAAUUUCAAAAGAUGGCUGGUGAAAUUUUCUGAGGAUUACUUUAUUUCUGUAAUAUUUUGUUAUUUAAGGAGGUAGACCUAGGUUAAGGGGAAUAAAUCCUUAAAAUCAUCGUUUGUGAUGAUGAUGGAUUUUUUUUACAACCUUAAGGGGGCUAGCGGGUCUUAACCAUUUUUUUUAAUUUAAUAUAAGAUUUCUCUAUAUUUUUCUAUAAAUGAACUUUAUCUGAUAUUAAAUAGAAAAAAUAAAAUAAAAAAAAUGGGGUCACCAUUCAUUUGCACUCAGCUUACAAUCUGCCUUCGAAAGAAGUAUACAUUUUUGUAAACGUGCUUUUUUUCUGUUGAACUAAUAUAAGAAAUAAAGGUGAUAUCGAAAUAAAAAAGAAAUUUAUUACAGAAAUCGCUCAAAUUUUACAAUAGUUUAGUUUAAGUACAGCUUAUUUGUAAAUUAUAAUAAAACAUAUGAGUUAAAAAAGAUAUUUCAAUUUAUGCCAUAAAAUUGCUUUUUUCCACCAAAGGGAGAUAAUUUGGAACUUUUUCAAUGAUAUAUACAUUUUAAAAGUCAUCUGGGGCCAACACGAAUUGAUUUUGUUGAAUGAUUUUUGUACCAUAUGAUAAAGUAACAACUACUAAAGGUAAUAAAUAAAAUUUGUAAUAAAAAACAAAUGUUUAUUUUUUUUCUGAAAUUUUUAUACCCUUGAGCCUCCUUAAACUGGUUGUUUGUGUCAAACAUUUUCAUUAAUAUAUACUAAGCUUAUAGGUUACAUAGAUAAUUUUCUAAUCUGUUUCAGGUAAAUGCUUAAAAUCCAUGGAUGAAACUUGACUUACAAACGCAUAACAUAUUUAAAGAGUUAUCUCCCUGAAUCAAGGUCUACCCUGAGGUCUAUCAAUAUUUCUAUUGGUGCUGGUAUAUGUGAUAUUCAUUUCAUUUGUAAUUAUUUCCUUGUUAAUGUAAAUUAUGUAGAUUAUUUUUUAAUGGACAGCAAUUAUUCAUUUCUGCUUUAUAUCACUCCUAUAUUGUUAUAUAUUUAUUUUGACAAGGUGUUUAUUUUCUGUCUGUUUUGUGCGGGUUAGUUACAUGAUGUGUACAUCAAGAAUGAGAAUAUAUACUAAAGGGGGGCAUGCUGUCUUUGAAAAAUAACUAUCGGUCUUG